rnacentral:rRNA from 1 species
GCCCGAUUGUGAUUGCAGAUUCAGUGAAUCAUCGAAUCUUUGAACGCACAUUGCGCCCCUUGGUAUUCCGGGGGGCAUGCCUGUUCGAGCGUCAUUACAACCCUCAAGCUCUGCUUGGUCUUGGGCGUCACCGGUCCCCGGUGUGCCUCAAAAUCAGUGGCGGCGCCGUCUGGCUCUAAGCGUAGUACAUACUCUCGCUACAGACGCCCGGCGGAUGCUGGCCAGCAACCCCCAAUCUAUCAAGGUUGACCUCGGAUCAGGUAGGGAUACCCGCUGAACUUAAGCAUAUCAAUAAGCGGAGGAAAAGAAACCAACAGGGAUUACCUCAGUAACGGCGAGUGAAGCGGUAACAGCUCAAAUUUGAAAUCUGGGUCUUUCAGGCUCCGAGUUGUAAUUUGUAGAAGAUGCUUUGGGUGCGGCCCCGGUCUAAGUUCCUUGGAACAGGACGUCAUAGAGGGUGAGAAUCCCGUAUGUGAUCGGUGGCUUGCGCCCGUGUAAAGCUCUUUCGACGAGUCGGGUUGUUUGGGAAUGCAGCUCUAAAUGGGUGGUAAAUUUCAUCUAAAGCUAAAUAUUGGCCAGAGACCGAUAGCGCACAAGUAGAGUGAUCGAAAGAUGAAAAGGACUUUGGAAAGAGAGUUAAACAGUACGUGAAAUUGUUGAAAGGGAAGCGCUUGCAACCAGACUUGCGCGGGGUUGAUCAUCCGGGGUUCUCCCCGGUGCACUCGGCCUCGCUCAGGCCAGCAUCGGUUUCGGUGGUUGGAUAAAGGCCUUGGGAAUGUGACUUCUUUCGGGGAGUGUUAUAGCCCUCGGUGCAAUGCAGCCUACCGGGACCGAGGACCGCGCUUCGGCUAGGAUGCUGGCGUAAUGGUUGUAAGCGACCCGUCUUGAAACACGGACCAAGGAGUCUAACAUCUAUGCGAGUGUUUGGGUGCCAAACCCAUACGCGUAAUGAAAGUGAACGGAGGUGAGAACCCUUAAGGGUGCAUCAUCGACCGAUCCUGAUGUCUUCGGAUGGAUUUGAGUAAGAGCAUAGCUGUUGGGACCCGAAAGAUGGUGAACUAUGCCUGAAUAGGGUGAAGCCAGAGGAAACUCUGGUGGAGGCUCGCAGCGGUUCUGACGUGCAAAUCGAUCGUCAAAUUUGGGCAUAGGGGCGAAAGACUAAUCGAACCAUUGUGGGAGCAGUUGCUAGGUGGUUAAGAGGCAGCCGUAAUAGGCUGCCUAGUCCAAGGUCUAGGGCGACAUUGUCAAAUUGUUCGGGGACGUCCUGCUAAUGCUGAGCUACCGCAGCCUGCCGAAAGGGAGGUGCGCACCGGGCGUAAUGGCCUCGGGGAUGGUAAUAACGCUCUCGCUAGGGAUAAUCCGCAGCCAAGCCCUACCGGGACACUUCGGUGUCCCCACGGGUGCAGUUCACAGACUAAAUGGCAGUGGGUGCUACACCCGUAGCGCUUAAGAUAUAGUCGAGCCGCUGAGAGAUCAGUCGAGCGGACGAAAGGUGUUGAGGGGGCCACCUGCGCUUCGGUGCAGGUCCUGAACACCCAGAGCCGCUCGGGGGCUGGCGCGGGGCGUACCCGCGUCGAGCCCUGGAGAGAUGCUAGUAGCUGGUUCCUGCCGAAGUUUCCCUCAGGAUAGCAGUGUUGAAUUCAGUUUUAUGAGGUAAAGCGAAUGAUUAGAGGCCUUGGGGUUGAAACAACCUUAACCUAUUCUCAAACUUUAAAUAUGUAAGAAGUCCUUGUUGCUUAAUUGAACGUGGACAUUCGAAUGUACCAACACUAGUGGGCCAUUUUUGGUAAGCAGAACUGGCGAUGCGGGAUGAACCGAACGUGAAGUUAAGGUGCCGGAAUAUACGCUCAUCAGACACCACAAAAGGUGUUAGUUCAUCUUGACAGCAGGACGGUGGCCAUGGAAGUCGGAAUCCGCUAAGGAAUGUGUAACAACUCACCUGCCGAAUGAACUAGCCCUGAAAAUGGAUGGCGCUUAAGCGUAUUACCCAUACUUCACCGCCAGGGUAGAAACGAUGCCCUGGCGAGUAGGCAGGCGUGGGGGUCAGUGACGAAGCCUUAGGCGGAGCCGGAAACCCCC